AGUGGGCCCCCAAAUUGCAUUUAGCAUCAUGCUGCACAAAUUCUGAUAUGACCCUGCUCAGAAUACACACAAAAGAAGCAGGCACUAGGCUAACUUCAACAAUAACAACAGAAGUUAUAUUAGAACACGAAGCACUCUCCCCUGGAUGGAUGACAGGCAUAUAUGUAAAAGAGCCUAGGAACCUCAUUAAGGAAGGAAGGGGGAAAAAAACCAAAACCAGCUGAGAUGGAACAAUGAAUUGGUUUCUUAAUAUUCUUCAAGAGUAACCAAUUAGUUUGGCUGCAAGUUUUGAGAUUAGAUUCCUGUAUGCAAGUCCAACAAUGCUGAGGAUGGCACUCAACAGCACCAGCUGAGAAGAUAAACAUGACGUGCCUACCAUGUGCUUGGCCCUGAAGAUACAAAAGUAAAUAAGAGACUUUGCCUUCUGCCUCAGGAAAGUCUGGAGUCUAGUUACAUUCACCAUGCCUCUCUCUGACGACCAUUUCUUUAUUGAAGGUGGACAGGAAACAAACAGGAUACACUGGUUUGAAACUUUUUAAAAAGCUUAUUAUUGUUAAUUCCACGUUUUUAAAUAACCUUUUGAUCUGUUUUGGAUUUUCCCCCAUCCCUCCCUCCUCUGCUGUUUCCCUUAAAAUAGCAUUCAGUGCACACACAUUGUGUUUUCAUUAAAUGGAUAUGUUUACUCUAAAAACAGAGCUGAGAGUUACCGACUCAAAGGACUCUUCCCCCUUCGUCUCUGGACAAGGCAAACUUUGGGAGACUCACAUUAGACGCAAAGAGGUUUGUUCUGGUUCUUACAGUCAGACCGCUAGAAAGAACCACUGAUAGAAAUAGAGAGAACUGAUCGUUUUAGGAUAUCAGGAGUGUCACGGUGAAGACCAAGUAUGGACGUGUGAGUCAGCUUAUAGACUUUGUACAAUCCUAAAUUCCAGAUUCAUCUGAAGAAAAUGAACUUGCUUUCAUGAAAAUUCACCCUUUUCGUUUCUGAUGAAUUGAUUGCUUAAUGAGUACAUACAUAUUUUAAUAUAAUUGUUCCUUGUUUU
rnacentral:lncRNA from 1 species